ACGAGUUUUAAUUGUUAGGUUAGAGUUGAGCUGGUUAAUCUAAUUAAUAUGUGCUUACUCUAAUCGAAACAAGUCCAUCAUUACUUAACACUUGUGAACUUAUUCAUUACAACAUUAUUAUUUGUUAUUGAACGUUUGAUUAUUAAAAAGUUUAAUA
rnacentral:misc_RNA from 1 species